CCAUGGUUACAAGACUCAUGUUCCUUCUCUCCCCUCCCCACACUCCCCUCCCAUAUAUGAUGCACAGUUCUAUUGGGUUUAACAUGUGCCAUCAAUCAAGACCCAUCUCAUUAUUUACUAGGGUGAUCUUUUAGAGUCCACUUUCCCAGACAUAGCCCCACCAAUCCAUGUGAUCAAGUGGUUGAUUUUCUUCUGUGUUUCUUUUCCCACAGUUCUUCCUCUGGAAUAGCAUCCAAAUUUAUAAAGGAGAAACUAGUGGAGCUCAAGGAUGAAAUAGAUAGUAAAACUAUACUAGUGGGAGAACUGAACUUUCCUCUAUCAAAUAUAGAUAAGUCAAACCAAAAAAUAAAUAAGAAAGAGUUUGCUAGUGUGGAUGAGAGAUACAGAAGGCAAUGCAAGGACUGGAUUUUACAAUGAAAUCUUGUGCAAGAAGGAAAUGGAACUUUGGCUGGUAGUGCGGGAUGGGACUGGAAUCUCCAGCUAAGAAAGGCAAGUAGACAGUUGGGAAAAGACUUCUUGUUCCUUCUGAACUGAGAGGGGAAGGAGCAACUUCGCUGAGUUUAGUUUACUAUAAUCCCUCAUUGAUUUGAAGAGACCCAGAUUAACCAUCUUUCCUUAUAAGUGGUGGAUAAAGACUUUUUCCCUUUGGGGAAGGCAAGAGACUAUCCACCCUGAAAACUUUCCUUCAAAGCUGUAUCUCUUUUUCAGGAAAUUACACCAG
rnacentral:lncRNA from 1 species